AUUGAACGCUGGCGGCAUGCUUUACACAUGCAAGUCGAACGGCAGCACGGGAGCAAUCCUGGUGGCGAGUGGCGAACGGGUGAGUAAUAUAUCGGAACGUGCCCAGUCGUGGGGGAUAACGCAGCGAAAGCUGUGCUAAUACCGCAUACGAUCUAAGGAUGAAAGCGGGGGAUCGCGAGACCUCGCGCGAUUGGAGCGGCCGAUAUCAGAUUAGCUAGUUGGUGGGGUAAAGGCCCACCAAGGCGACGAUCUGUAGCUGGUCAGAGAGGACGACCAGCCACACUGGAACUGAGACACGGUCCAGACUCCUACGGGAGGCAGCAGUGGGGAAUUUUGGACAAUGGGCGCAAGCCUGAUCCAGCAAUGCCGCGUGCAGGAUGAAGGCCUUCGGGUUGUAAACUGCUUUUGUACGGAACGAAACGGCCCUUUCUAAUACAGGGGGCUAAUGACGGUACCGUAAGAAUAAGCACCGGCUAACUACGUGCCAGCAGCCGCCGUAAGAC
rnacentral:rRNA from 1 species